rnacentral:rRNA from 1 species
GAGGUAUCAGAAGUGCGAAUGCUGACAUAAGUAACGAUAAUGCGGGUGAAAAACCCGCACGCCGGAAGACCAAGGGUUCCUGUCCAACGUUAAUCGGGGCAGGGUGAGUCGACCCCUAAGGCGAGGCAGAAAUGCGUAGUCGAUGGGAAACAGGUUAAUAUUCCUGUACUGGUGAUAAUUGCGAUGGGGGGACGGAGAAGGCUAGGCUGGCCGGGCGACGGUUGUCCCGGUUUAAGGAUGUAGGUGGGCGAAUUAGGCAAAUCCGGUUCGCUAUACACUGAGGUCUGAUGACGAGUCACUACGGUGGCGAAGUAGCUCAUGCCCCGCUUCCAGGAAAAGCCUCUAAGCUCUAGAUUAUCAUUAAUCGUACCCCAAACCGACACAGGUGGUCAGGUAGAGAAUACUCAGGCGCUUGAGAGAACUCGGGUGAAGGAACUAGGCAAAAUGGUGCCGUAACUUCGGGAGAAGGCACGCUGGCA